UACGGUGUGACCCUAAUGCUAAAAAUACAAAGGUGGCCUAAGUAGGCCGAGCCGGCUGAAACGGUUUCCAUAGUUCAACAAGCGCCGCUGCCCGACAGCUAUAACCGGCCACCCAACCGCCCCCAAUGCCCCGCCACAAACGCAAACUUAAUCAAUUAUUACGACGUCCCCCGAGGUAUCACCAUCUCUCGUAAACGUUUCGCGGGUGUAGUUACAAAGAUCAUCGAUGAAACAACGCUGGUCAAAUUUUGAGCGUUUUUCCAAGAAGCAAUGGCUAUGGAUUGAGAUUGAAAUUCAUAGAAUGUCACUAUAAAGUUCUAAGGUCUAAGUUGAGGAGCAAAUAACGAUGCUAGAAAAUAUAGAACUCUAUUAUGUAAAUUCAUUGAGAGGAAAAUUGCAGACUGAAAUAACGCGUCGUUAGCUCUUAAUGGGUUAAUUUAUAAAUAAAAUAAUAAACGUAGACGUAACUGAAAAAUGUCACGGAUAGAAAGCAAUUAAAAAAUUGUUAAAAAAAUGUUUUUCUGUUUGGUUUACAGUUUACUAUUUUUACCUCUCUCGUGGAUAUUUAACAGAUAUUGACUGUCAUAUCAGCUUUAUUUAGGUUUAUAAAACUUUGAACACACAUUACGUACUUUUAAAUGACAGGUAAAAUACCUAUUAAUCUAGGAAUUUACAUUUUCAGCAGCAGUUUCGUUUAAUAGUAAUUUAAUAAUUAAAAUCAGAAAAUCAGGAAAAAAGUUAUCCUAUUAUAAUUUUCUCAUAUAGUUUUCGAUCUUUCGUGGUUUCUCUGACUCGGAGAACGCGAGCACGAAUAAUUUAGACGCUACUACAUGUUCGAUAUAGUAAUCGUUUUCAAGAAAAAAACGAAGAAAUGAUGGAAAAAUUUAUGUCAACGACUUCAUCAUCCUCAACUAUCGUUCUUUGGAAAUUCUCUGGAAUUUCGUUAGAAUUCUUCUCAUAACUGCCUUCAGUAAUAACUAACUAACGUAGCUAGUAUAUCCAUAGAUAUUAAAAUCGAUUUCUAAUGUGAUUUAUACUGCAAUUACAAUAAUUGCAUCUACGUUUAUAUCAUUCUAUCAUUUACAAGCAUAAAACAUAAAACGUACCAAGCUUAUAAAUACCAUGAUCAUUCCCGACUAGCCUUGAACAAUCAAUUGAUCCCGCGCACAAGCCUAACCUAAACUAAACUAACAAUUUCAAGGACCACCUUCAAGUACCAUCCAUACUAUUUAAGCAAGUAUAAUAUGGAGUUCAUUAAUCACCGAUAAAUCUGUCUUAGGAUACUUACGAAAAAUUAAUCUGAAUAGCGAAAUUAUUGAAACCUUUAAGAAUUAUUAUCUCAUUUGCGCACUACGAAUAAUUAUGGAAAUUCAUAUUUUUAUGAACACAAUAAAGAAAAAGGAAAAGAAAAAUAAAAAAUAUCAAUAACACAAAAUCUCAAAAAUUAAAAAAAUUAAGGAUUUUUAAAUUAAGCGAUUGGGUGGCUUGAAAGUUUGAAACUUCGAACGUCUGAAAAUUAAAAGAUUCCAAAUCCUCUUUACUUCUCUCAAGAAUCUGUAAAAGUCCCUAAUAAUCAAUCUCACGUUCAGAGAAGCCUGAUCAAUGAAAGUUGCGUAAAUCCGAGCAAAAUAGGCCGUAAAUCCAUCCAGACUGUCAUCGCGAAUCCAUCAGCGUAAUUACGACACAAAGUUGCUCACAAUAAUGCUGACAUUUCCUUUUGACACGUCCUCUUCUCGCCAGAAGAAAUCUUUCACGAAGAGUCACGAUUCUCCAGCUCGAACCAGCACCGAUAGGUGUGAAUUAUUAGUACGGGAACAUCGAGUUUCACGUUGACGAGCAACGAUGGUCGAGAUUAUAAAGAGCUGGUUGUUUAUUCGUUGCGGGCACAGGUUGUUGCCGCAACCGCGACGCGGCCAGCCCCGUCAUAAAUGUAAAUUGAAUUCCGUCGCAUAAAUUUCUACCGUGCGGCGUACCCAAUAAAUUCACCGCCCGAUACAAUCAGUAAUAUUCUGUAACAUCGUCGCCGAUCGGAUUACGAAACUCUUUCCGCGCUGAUCGAACAAGUGCCCUUGGAACCCUGUUGACUCUUGGACGAGGAACCAUCCUUUGCUCAUUAUCCGUGAAACUGUUAUUAUACGUCAAAUAAUAUUAUAGAGUGACGGAGGAUUCCAGCUGCAACACGUGCCGCGAGAACGAUGCCGCUUCCGUUCAUGGAUCGCCUGGAAUAUCGUUGCUCCAACGGAAACGUGACUUGCAAGGGCCGACUGACUGCCAAUUACAAUCUGUUCGACUAUGUUACGAGAGAUCGGGUUUCUGUUAAUCGGUCUACGAGCUAUUCUUUAGUCAAUGUCGAUUAACUCAAUUUUCUCUACAAAUUUUUCGAUUAAAAUAUUUGUUGUCUCUAUCUAUUGAGCUUUGAGAUCGUUUUCGUUUCAGGAAGGAUUUUAAUCAUUUAAUACAAUAAAAUAGCUAUACCUGUAUUUUACAAAGAAUAUGUCGUAUAUCUAUUUGCAUUGUAAAUUGUUUCUUUUUUUAUCAUAAAGCAUGUAAUUCUUUUGAUUAAUCUCUUAACGUGUACGCCCGUGAGAUUAUACUGGCGUGUACAUUGGUAGAAACGUGUACUUGGUGUUAGAUACACAGGUAAAGUGAAACACUCGCUUCAUGGUGAUUUGGUUAACAUUAUCAAACAGAAACUAUAAUAUUUUAUGCUUGGAUAGCUGUAUGAAUUGUAUCGUUAGCAUAGUAUAUUACUUAUAAAUCUGAACAAAAUUUUAGCAUUAGAUUGUAACGGGUAUCCAAAAUUUCUCUCAAAAAUUAUAUCUGCCAAAUCCAGCUAACUUGAUUAUAUAAAAUAAUUUUACGAAUAAUAUAAUCCAAGAGUCAAAAAAUCCUUCGCUAAAACUCCAAGUUAAACGUAUUCCUCGAUCAUAAAGGUUCAUUUCCUUUUAUAAAUCCUUUAAUAAACUGUUCAAGCAUCCAAGUUUUCUGCUCCGUUGAGUUUCUCUAUCAUCGAAGACACUCGAUGUUUAAAGAAAUCGAAGACGAAAAGACCUCUUGGGAAGGGAAACCAG